rnacentral:rRNA from 1 species
UACGAAGGGUGCAAGCGUUACUCGGAAUUACUGGGCGUAAAGCGUGCGUAGGUGGUGAGUUAAGUCUGUCGUGAAAGCCCCGGGCUCAACCUGGGAAUGGCGAUGGAUACUGGCUCGCUAGAGUGCGGUAGAGGAGAGUGGAAUUCCCGGUGUAGCAGUGAAAUGCGUAGAGAUCGGGAGGAACAUCAGUGGCGAAGGCGAGUCCCUGGACAAGACCUGACACUGAGGCACGAAAGCCAGGGGAGCAAACAGG